rnacentral:rRNA from 1 species
GAGUUUGAUCAUGGCUCAGGACGAACGCUGGCGGCGUGCUUAACACAUGCAAGUCGAACGGGAGUAUUGAAGAAGCUUGCUUUAGAGAUACUUUAGUGGCGGACGGGUGAGUAACGCGUGAGGAGCUGUCCUAUGCAGGGGGACAACAGCUGGAAACGGCUGCUAAUACCCCAUAAGCCGAGAGGUAAAAGGAUCAAUCCGGCAGAGGAGGUACUCGCGUCCUAUCAGCUAGUAGGUGAGGUAACGGCUCACCUAGGCGAAGACGGGUAGCCGGCCUGAGAGGGCGAACGGCCACACUGGAACUGAGAUACGGUCCAGACUCCUACGGGAGGCAGCAGUGGGGAAUAUUGGGCAAUGGGGGAAACCCUGACCCAGCGACGCCGCGUGGGUGAAGAAAUCCUUCGGGAUGUAAAGCCCUGUUGUAUGGGAAGAGCGGAAGACGGUACCAUACGAGGAAGCCCCGGCAAACUACGUGCCAGCAGCCGCGGUAA